rnacentral:snoRNA from 1 species
AGGGCAUGAUGUGGCCACUUCCUUAGCAUCUCCUUGUAUCUGUCCCAUGCUUCAUAAAAAGGUUCCAUGUCAUUCUGAGCAAAUGACAUGACGUCAUUCCUGAGUUU